rnacentral:rRNA from 1 species
GACGAGGGGUCCAAGCGUUGUUCGGAAUCAUUGGGCGUAAAGCGGGUGUAGGUGGCUCUAUAAGUCAGGCGUGAAAGCCCCGAGCUUAACUCGGGAAGUGCUUUUGAUACUGUAGAGCUUGAGUGUGGGAGAGGAUCGUGGAAUUCCAGGUGUAGUGGUGAAAUACGUAGAUAUCUGGAGGAACACCGGUGGCGAAGGCGGCGAUCUGGCCCAACACUGACACUGAGACCCGAAAGCAUGGGGAUCAAACAGG